rnacentral:rRNA from 1 species
AAACCCUGUGGGAAGCAGGAGGGACCACCCUCCAAGGCUAAAUACUACCUAGUGACCGAUAGCGUAUAGUACCGGGAGGGAAAGGUGAAAAGAACCCCGGGAGGGGAGUGAAAUAGAACCUGAAACCUUGCACUUACAAGCUGUGGAAGCACAUUUCUUGUGUGACCGCGUACUUUUUGUAGAACGGGCCAACGAGUUACGU